GAACGAGAAAGUGGAGCAAUCCAUGAGUAAAGUGGCGACCGGGUGAGUAACACGUGACUAACCUACCUUCGAGUGGGGGAUAACCUCGGGAAACCGGGGCUAAUACCGCAUAAUGCCUUCGGGUUAAAGGAGCAAUUCGCUUGAAGAGGGGGUCGCGGCUGAUUAGCUAGUUGGCGGGGUAACGGCCCACCAAGGCGAUGAUCGGUAGCCGGCCUGAGAGGGCGCACGGCCACACUGGAACUGAAACACGGUCCAGACUCCUACGGGAGGCAGCAGUGGGGAAUUUUGCGCAAUGGGGGAAACCCUGACGCAGCAACGCCGCGUGGAGGAUGAAGUCCCUUGGGACGUAAACUCCUUUCGACCGGGACGAUAAUGACGGUACCGGUGGAAGAAGCCCCGGCUAACUUCGUG
rnacentral:rRNA from 1 species